CAGUCGUACCUUCGGGUAAUCAGCCUUUCGGGUGCGAUUCUGUGGGGUGUGAAGAGUUAAACGCCUUCACGUUUUGCAUAUUCGUGCUCUUGGGUGUACUUGCCCGUGUGAUGGGCCAGCAUCGAUUUCGGAUGCCGGAAAAUGACUUGAGGAAUGUGGCAGCUUGCUGUGUUAUAGCCUCUUGUUGUACACGGUGUCGGGGAUCGGAGGACUGCAGCACGCCUUUGGUCGGGUUCGCCCACGCCACGUGCUUAGGAUGCUGGCAAAAUGGCUUUAAACGACCCGUCUUGAAACACGGACCAAGGAGUCUAGCAUAUAUGCG
rnacentral:rRNA from 1 species